rnacentral:rRNA from 1 species
AUAUGGAGGUAGAGCACUGAAUGGACUAGGGGCCAAAAAGGUUACCGAACCCUAUCAAACUCCGAAUGCCAUAUUGAUAACCCUGGGAGUCAGACUACGAGUGAUAAGAUCCGUAGUCAAAAGGGAAACAGCCCAGACCGACAGCUAAGGUCCCAAAGAGCAUGUUAAGUGGGAAAGGAAGUAGGAUUUCCAAGACAACCAGGAUGUUGGCUUAGAAGCAGCCAUACAUUCAAAGAGUGCGUAAUAGCUCACUGGUCGAGAAAUCCCGCGCCGAAAAUAAACGGGGCUAAAACAUGCCACCGAAGCUACGGAUUCUGUAGGAAUGGUAGGGGAGCGUACUGUACAGGGAGAAGGAUAAGCGAAAGCGAAUCUGGACAGUACAGUAGAGAGAAUGCCGGUAUAAGUAACGAGAGUAAGGCGAGAAACCUUACCGUCGAAAGCCUAAGGGUUCCUGGGGAAGGAUAAUCCGCCCAGGGUAAGUCGGGACCUAAGCCGAGGCGAGAGCGUAGGCGAUGGAUAACCGGUAAUAAAUCCGGUACCACCGAAAUCCGUUAAAAGAGAAGCAAGGACGCAGCGAGAUAAGAAAAGCGUGCGGUUGGUAGAGCACGUCCAAGCAGCGACGAAAAGAGCUUUGAGUGAAGUACCAAAGCUCAUAAGAGCUGUGACGGGGAGCCGAAGAGGCGAAGUUUCGAAGGGGCUGCCAAGAAAAGUUGCUAUCGAGGAUAAGGUGCCCGUACCCGAAACCGACACAGGUAGGCGAGGAGAGAAUCCAAAGACGAGCGGGAGAACCCUCAUUAAGGAACUCGGCAAAAAGACUCCGUAACUUCGGGAGAAGGAGUGCCGAAAGGCCGCAGAGAAGAGGCCCAAGCGACUGUUUACCAAAAACACAGGUUUCUGCUAAGUCGAAAGACGAAGUAUAGGAGCUGACGCCUGCCCGGUGCUGGAAGGUUAAGGGGAAGUGUUAGGAGAAAAUCUGAAGCACAGAACUUAAGCCCCAGUAAACGGCGGCCGUAACUAUAACGGUCCUAAGGUAGCGAAAUUCCUUGUCGGGUAAGUUCCGACCUGCACGAAAGGCGUAACGACUUGGGCGCUGUCUAGAUGGGGGACCCGGUGAAAUUGUAGUACUCGUGAAGAUGCGAGUUACCCGCGACAGGACAGAAAGACCCCAUGGAGCUUUACUGCAGCUUGUCACUGAAUUUUAGUAAUAUCUGUACAGGAUAGGUGGGAGGCAGAGAAAGAUGGGCGCCAGCCUAUCUGGAGCCGACGUUGGGAUACCACCCUGAUAUUACCGAAAUUCUAACAUAGGAGCCGUAAGCCGGCAUAUGGACACUGACAGGCGGGCAGUUUGACUGGGGCGGUCGCCUCCCAAAAAGUAACGGAGGCGUCCAAAGGUUACCUCAGCGCGGAAGGAAAUCGCGCGUAAGAGUGCAAAGGCAGAAGGUAGCCUAACUGCGAGAAAGACAAUUCGAGCAGGGACGAAAGUCGGGCUUAGUGAUCCGGCGGUAGAGAAUGGGAUUGCCGUCGCUCAACGGAUAAAAGCUACCCUGGGGAUAACAGGCUGAUCUCCCCCAAGAGUCCACAUCGACGGGGAGGUUUGGCACCUCGAUGUCGGCUCAUCGCAUCCUGGGGCUGAAGUAGGUCCCAAGGGUUGGGCUGUUCGCCCAUUAAAGCGGUACGCGAGCUGGGUUCAGAACGUCGUGAGACAGUUCGGUCCCUAUCCGUCGCGGGCGUAGGAAAUUUGAGAGGAACUGCCCUUAGUACGAGAGGACCGGGGUGGACAAACCGAUGGUGUACCAGUUGCGAAGCCAUUCGCACAGCUGGGUAGCCAAGUUUGGAAGGGAUAAACGCUGAAAGCAUCUAAGCGUGAAACCCACCUCAAGAAAAGAUUUCCCAUCCGAAAGGAGUAAGACACCUUGGAGAAGACGAGGUAGAUAGGCCGGAGGUGUAAGAGUAGAAAUACUUU